AUUGAACGCUGGCGGCGUGCCUAACACAUGCAAGUCGAGCGAUUUACUUCGGUAAAGAGCGGCGGACGGGUGAGUAACGCGUGGGUAACCUGCCUCAUACACAUGGAUAACAUACCGAAAGGUAUGCUAAUACAAGAUGAUAUAAGAGAUUCGCAUGGAUUUCUUAUCAAAGCUCCGGCGGUAUGAGAUGGACCCGCGUCUGAUUAGCUAGUUGGUAAGGUAACGGCUUACCAAGGCGACGAUCAGUAGCCGACCUGAGAGGGUGAUCGGCCACAUUGGAACUGAGACACGGUCCAAACUCCUACGGGAGGCAGCAGUGGGGAAUAUUGCACAAUGGGCGAAAGCCUGAUGCAGCAACGCCGCGUGAGCGAUGAAGGCCUUCGGGUCGUAAAGCUCUGUCCUCAAGGAAGAUAAUGACGGUACUUGAGGGGGAAGCCCCGGCUAACUACGUGCCAGCCGCCGCAGUAAUAC
rnacentral:rRNA from 1 species